GGUGGGAGGGAUCCUAUGGGUCAGAGCAAAGGGAGCACAGCAUGUGGGGCCGGAGGGGACCUAAAGGGGCGCGGAGUGAUGGGAUGGGGGCGUUGGAGGGGAUGCCGGGGGUCAGAACUGUGGGGUCACAGCACGGCUGCGUCGGAGGGGACGGAGCUCAGCGUCACCGCGGGUUGGGGACACUCAGCGGUGUCACUGCAUUGGGGACACAUUGUGGUGUCACACUGUUGGGGACACAUUGGUGUCACUGCUGGGGACACAUUGGUGUCACACUGUUGGGGUCACUCAGUGGAAUCAUUGCAUUGGGGACACAUUGGUGUCACUGCAUUGGGGACACAUUGGUGUCACUGUUAGGGUCACUCAGUGGUGUCACUAUUUGGGACACAUUGGUGUCACACUGUUGGGGACACACAUUGGUGUCACUGUUGGGGACACAUUGUGGUGUCACUGCAUUGGGGACACAUUGGUGUCACACUGUUGGGGUCACUCAGUGGUGUCACUGCAUUGGGGACACAUAUUUCCCCCCCCCCCCCCCCCCCCCCCCCCCGGUGUGGGGACGGCUGUGGGGAUGGCGGUGUGCAGAGAUGGCUCCAAUUGGGGGUCCCCAAAUGAGGGCCAAUGGGGAAACUGAGGCAGAGGGCGGCGCUCCGUUGGGGGCCGCGCAGCCCCACGGCUGCUAUGGGGCGCACGGGGGG
ensembl:lncRNA